rnacentral:rRNA from 1 species
GACAGAGGUGCCGAGCGUUAGGCGGAAUCACUGGGCUUAAAGCGUGUGUAGGCGGGCGAUCAAGUACCUUGUGAAAUCCCACGGCUCAACCGUGGAACCGCUGGGUAUACUGGUUGUCUUGAGCCGGCUAGGGGCGAGCGGAACAGACGGUGGAGCGGUGAAAUGCGUAGAUAUCGUCUGGAAUGCCGAAGGUGAAAACAGCUCGCUGGGGCCGCGCUGACGCUGAGACACGAAAGCCAGGGGAGCGAACGGG